UACGUAGGGGGCGAGCGUUAUUCGGAAUUACUGGGCGUAAAGCGCGCGCAGGCGGUUUUGCAAGCCGGAUGUGAAAUCCCCGGGCUCAACCUGGGAAUGGCAUUCGGGACUGCAAGGCUGGAGUGCGGAAGAGGAGACUGGAAUUCCUGGUGUAGCAGUGAAAUGCGUAGAUAUCAGGAGGAAUACCGAUGGCGAAGGCAGGUCUCUGGGCUGACACUGACGCUCAGGCACGAAAGCGUGGGGAGCAAACAGG
rnacentral:rRNA from 1 species